AGCUUCGUAGUUCAGCUGUUAGAGCGCUUGACGCGUUCAGGCAUGCUGUUUCUAUCGCUGGUUCGAAUCCAGCCGAAGCCG
rnacentral:tRNA from 1 species